AUUGAACGCUGGCGGCGUGCCUAAUACAUGCAAGUAGAACGCAGUUGCGAACGGGUGAGUAACGCGUAGGUAACUGCCUCAUAGCGGGGGAUAACUAUUGGAAACGAUAGCUAAUACCGCAUACUGUGAGAUGGACCUGCGUUGUAUUUGCUAGUUGGUGAGGUAAAGGCCCACCAAGGCGACGAUACAUAGCCGACCUGGGAGGGAGAUCGGCCCACAUUGGACUGAGGAACGGGCCAAGAUCCUUAGGGGGGGAACAAGAGGGGAACUUCGGGAAAUGGCGGAAAGCUGACCGAGCAAAGGCGCGGGGGUGGAGGAAGUUUUCGGGACGUAAAACUCUGUUGAUAGGGGAGCGGUAACUAACCAGAAAGGGACGGCUAACUACGUGCCAGCAGCCGCGGUAAUAC
rnacentral:rRNA from 1 species